rnacentral:snRNA from 1 species
GUCCUUGUUUUGGUAGCACAUAUACUAAAACUGGAACAAUACAGAGAUUAUCAUGGCAUACAAAUUUGUGAAGUGUUCCAUGUUUUA